rnacentral:tRNA from 6 species
GGGCGGUUAGCUCAGCGGUAGAGCACUCGCUUCACACGCGAGGGGUCGUAGGUUCAAAUCCUAUACCGCCCACCA